UACUAGGCCUGCUCUGGAGCACAUGCAUGAUUUCACAGCAGGCAAUUCCAGUGACUUUAAAAUAAUAUAUCAGCAAAAUUUAGAAGGGUUUGCAGAGAAUGGAGGCUGAAUACUUAUUUCCUUCUCACUUUAAAGGAGAAAUGGAAACAACCUAUCCCCCUUACCCACCACAUGCGCUGACCAAAUGUGGAUUCUCUUCAUUUAAGCAUCAAGUACCCAGCUCUCCAUUUCCCCUGUUAUGAGAUGGCCGCCUUUCUGCGUUCACAUCGCCGAUGUACCCGGCUACUUCAGAUGCCACGUGAACCUUCGUUAAAUCAGUGCAGUGUACGUUGAGUUGAGUCGUUGCACCAGCUCCUGCAGCUCAGAUACGGAUAAAAAAACAUUAAUGUAUUUGAAAUAAAUACAUGCCGAAGUA